CUUACACUACGGCGAGACGAUCCCUCCCGGCUGGCCGGCAGGUCUCCAGAACACUGCAUGCAACAACCCUGAACAGACUCAGACCGCUCCCGGGUGAGACCUCCGGGACGGUGCUCCAGACCGUCAUCCCCACCCCGCGGUUACCUUGUCCACGCUCUCCAGACCACGCUUUGGACUUUCUCACUUUUAUUUAAGAGUCCACCAGGGGAAGGAGGGAGAAAAAUCCAGAGGAGAUCCGAGUCAAUUGGAAAGAAAAAAAUUUCAAAAGGGUGUCCACAGCGGCAAAAAAGCCCAGACUCUGCCGACCUUCAAACAACAACAAGGCUUUCAGGAGAGAGCGGGGAGACCACUUCCCACCCGGACCUGACCAGAAACCAGGCACCCUCAGCCACAUUCCCCCUCUUGCAGGCAGAAAGAACUCCGGUCUACACAGGAGGCCCCCUUCCUGGUGCUGGGCAAACACUGAGGCCGUUCAUGGCCACCCCACACCAGCCCGCAGCUCUCCUUCUACACACAGUCCCGCUAGUGCUUGAGAAGGGUGCCUCUGUGGCAGACGGUGGCCAGGCUCCUCUUCCCAACUCCUGUUCAGCCUGGCAAAUAACAGCCAGUCUUCACUGCUCUGAUCAGUAAGUCACCCCAAUAUCCCUAGCACCCCAACUUCUUUUAGCAGGAGGUGCCUCCUCCCUUGGGAGAACUCAGUGUGGCACUUGAUUAAAACGAGGACUGGCCCUCUGGUUUUAGCUGUGGAACUCAAUAACACUUUCCGUUUCUGCCUGUAAAACCAAAGCUUUGGUAGUUUCGUAAUUUUGAAGGUGGUGGGAAGUGGGAAGAGGCUGGCAGUGGCAGAGCUGUCACCCUUGAGUGACUCACUGGCUGCACUGGUGCCCUGGCUUUUAGUAUUUACCAGCUCUUCCAUGAGGAGCUCCUGUCCAUUCACCAGGUCCUCCACCCAGAAAGACGCAAGUCCCCCCACCCCCAACCAUGCACACACCAGCUCUAGGCAGUCCUCCGAGGGACUCUGAGAUCCCCUGUGCCCAUGCUGACAUAGCGGUGGGCAAGUCUGCCCACUUAUGUAACUCUGGAUUUGAUGCCCCACUAGCUUCUGCUGCCUUUUUAAAUCCCGAAGGGGGAAAAAGCCCUAACCAAACACAACAGUAAACAAGUCUGCCCCGUUUAAUGUGGUUACCACCAGACAUCUGGAAAGAUGGUUUGAUCCUGGCAGGUCACGUUGUUUUCACGAGCAGCCAAAGAGAAUAUUUCGAAUGUUUGCAUUAAGACAAAUCGAUAGAGAGCCUAUGGUGAGGCCUGAGGCUGCUAGGGAUGAAAACUGGCUUGGAGUUGGGGAGGGGGGAACCCUCCCCCGUCUCUGUCCCCGCCCCUCUCCUGCCCUCUCUCCUCCUCCCCUCCCUUCUCCUGGCCCAGCUAGGGGCUGGCCGCCCCGGCCCACACGCUAGCUCACACCCUCUUUCCUGGCUCACCAGGGGCUGUCUUGCCUCUCCCUUUCCCAGACUGGGCAGGACUGGUGCCCAGGAGCUGGUGCCCGUGACCAUCCUGCCCACUCUACCAGCGCCUGCUGGCUUUCAAGUCAGGGGGAGCUGACAGCCAAGAGACCGGGACCAGCAUUUAAAACAAAAGCUACCAACUGCGGGCGGUGGGGGUGGGCAACAAAACAGUCCACUACACGUUUUUAAGUCUAAGGUCACUUGUAGAAAGCAUGCCCACGGGGGGCGAGUAUUCAGGAAAACUUUGGACUUGGAGCAUUUUCAUUGCAACUGUGGUGGGAUGACUGGCCUCGCACUAUCCGCACUUGACAAUAUUUUCAAAGAUGCGGAAGUCUUGCUUCCCCGGGGAGGGGUGCGGCGGCGGGGUGAAACGUGUCUUGGCUCGCUCAAUGUCAGCCCUUUUGACCCGGUCAAGACUUUCCAGACGCAGCCUCCGGGGCUUCUUCGGUCUUGGGGGGGGGGGGGGGUGGGAGGACGCGACAGCCGGAGCCAGGUCCCUGGGGUGCCUCCGGACCCCGAGACGGCCGGUCACUUGAAACCCCGAAAGAUGCCAGGCUUGGCAGAGCGUCUGGGGCGGAUCCUUCCUUCUGCGUCCUCCCCCCUCCCGGCCCCUCCUGUCCAGCGGCCGAGGCGGGAUUCGAGCUGGC